GGGUCUGUAGCCUAUUUGGUAAAGGAAGCACUUUCGUAUGUGACUCAGCAUUGCUGAGGUUGUGAGUUCAAAUCUCACCAGGCACA
rnacentral:tRNA from 2 species